AGCAGCACCACCGCCUUGCUGACAGUGACUGUGUGUCCCCCUAGCAACCCUCGAUGAUGUUGUGGAGGCCGGCGGGAGUGAGAAGACGGAGGAAGAGGCCCUGGCUGGGGCAAAUGAGGAGGAGGUGGGGCCGGGAACUGAGAAGGUGCAGGAGGAGGCUGCCUGCAUUGACGAGGCAGAGGAGGAGGCAGGCCCAUCCCUUGAAAAUGACGAGGAGUCCCCAGCCAGCGACCUGGUUGAGCAGGAAGACCAGCUUGCCCCCAAGGUGGACGGGAUGGACGAUGAAAGCCGUAAGUAUUCUGGAACCCGGCUCUGCUGAGGAGAAGUCCAGGUGUUGAGGAAGGGCGGGGGUGCUUUCCUGCCCCUUUGGUUGCAGAGACACCCUGAUUCUGGGUUCCUCCUGGGAAAGGGGGUGAAGGAUGGGGUGAAAGAGACUGACUUCCCACAAAAGGGCCAUCCCAAGUCCUCGGGUCCCUGGAGGAAAGGAGGCUCUUUGUAUGGUGGGGGUAGGUGUCCGGGAACAUUGGGGGUGUGCGUGUGAGGGCCUGUUGGUGUGAUUGUGAACCAGUGUGAGUGGGUGUGUUUUGUGGGGAGUCACUUGUGCCUUAGCACCACAUAGCUGUCCAGUUUCUCGUUGAACAGUCUCAUGAUGACCGCAGGCUAACUGUCCAUUCCCUCAUUCUCCCUGCACCCGCUGGGAGCAAGGUUUGGGGAAAAGGCUUUCCUUCCUCUGUUGGUCUUUCGUUUCCUCUUUUCUUCCCCCUCUGCUUGGUGCAGACUUUCAUGCUGUUGUUUCAAACAUGUGCCAUGAACUCGAGCCUCUUGAGGUUGUAAGUGUCCCGAGGAGUGUUGUGAACGCUGUGCUCCCCCCGCACCUCCUGCCCACUCGGGGCAGCCACCCUUCCAGCCUCUGCUCAGGAGUGGUCUUUCAGACACCUCAUGUGCAUGACAUCAGAGAGUCUUUGUCCUUCUGUGUCUGACUGGCUUCACUUGAAGUGAUGUCCUCCAGCGAGUUCCUGUUGAGGCUCAGAGCUCAUGAACCUGACCAGUACCUAUGAGGACACGGGUUCGACCC
rnacentral:lncRNA from 1 species